rnacentral:snoRNA from 1 species
UCGACUGUACUUGAACAGGAUUCAUUUCUACAGUAGAUACACCCUAAUCAGUAUUCUCCAAAUACUGACAAGCUUCUCAUGUCGGAAGAAGAGUAAUGACUCCCUAGUCUGAGCCGGAAGUCUGCAUCGCUCCCAAGGUUGAAAGACCAGGGACUGUGCUUGAUGAUGGCCCCCUAACAUCAUUCCAGUUGGGGCGGACGGCUAGGGAGCGUUCGGACGGCUG